rnacentral:rRNA from 1 species
GGAUAACCUACCCUUAGGACUGGGAUAACCCUGGGAAACUGGGGAUAAUACUAGAUAGGCAAUUUUUCCUGGAAUGGUUUUUUGUUUAAAUGUUUUUUCGCCUAAGGAUGGGUCUGCGGCCGAUUAGGUAGUUGGUUAGGUAACGGCUUACCAAGCCAUUGAUCGGUACGGGUUGUGAGAGCAAGAGCCCGGAGAUGGAACCUGAGACAAGGUUCCAGGCCCUACGGGGUGCAGCAGGCGCGAAACCUCCGCAAUGUGAGAAAUCGCGACGGGGGGAUCCCAAGUGCCAUUCUUAACGGGAUGGCUUUUCAUUAGUGUAAAGAGCUUUUGGAAUAAGGGCUGGGCAAGACCGGUGCCAGCCGCCGCGGUAACACCGGCAGCUCUAGUGGUAGCAGUUUUUAUUGGGCCUAAAGCGUCCGUAGCCGGUUUAAUAAGUCUCUGGUGAAAUCCUGUAGCUUAACUGUGGGAAUUGCUGGAGAUACUAUUAGACUUGAGACCGGGAGAGGUUAGAGGUACUCCCAGGGUAGAGGUGAAAUUCUGUAAUCCUGGGAGGACCGCCUGUUGCGAAGGCGUCUAACUGGAACGGUUCUGACGGUGAGGGACGAAAGUUAGGGGCGCGAACCGGAUUAGAUACCCGGGUAGUCCUAACUGUAAACGAUGCG